ACGAAGUGUAGCAAUACACUUAGUGGCGGAAGGGUUAGUAAUGCAUGGGUAACUUGCCUUUAACUUGGAAAUAACGGUUGGAAACGAUUGCUAAUACCGAAUGUGGAGGACUAUGGCAUCAUAGUUCCUUUAAAGUGGGGGAUCGCAAGACCUCGCGGUUAAGGAGAGGCCCAUGUGAUAUCAGCUUGUUGGAGUGGUAACGGCACACCAAGG
rnacentral:rRNA from 1 species